rnacentral:rRNA from 1 species
GAUAAACGCUGGCGGCGUGCCUAAAACAUGCAAGUCGAACGGCCCAUUUCGGUGGGUAGUGGCGAACGGCUGAGUAACACGUGGGUGACCUGCCCUCGAACGGGGGAUAACUGCCCGAAAGGGUGGCUAAUACCGCAAAUGUCGGACCUUCGGUGGUGUGACUGAACCGUUUAGGGUUCGAGGAGGGGCCUGCGUCCGAUUAGCUAGCUGGUGGGGUAAUGGCCUACCAGGGCGUCGAUCGGUAGCUGGUCUGAGAGGAUGAUCAGCCAGACUGGGACUGCGAACGGCCCAGACUCCUACGGGAGGCAGCAGUUAGGAAUUUUGGGCAAUGGGCGAAAGCCUGA